AGAUAAACGCAUUUAAAGGACGAGAUUUGAAUGAGUAAAAUUGUAAUAACUGUACAUUUCCUUAUGAGCUGCAUAAGAAGGAAUACCUUCAUUGUAAAAAAAUAGUCAAUUUUUUCGCGUUUUUCUCAAGGCAGUAUAUCAUAAGAAUGCUGUUACAGAUUAAAAAAAUUAAAUGAACCUUUGUAACAUUUCAGCUAUUACUUGUGAACUAGAUUUUUUUAAUAAUAAAUUAUUAUGAUAAUAAUAUAUUAAUAUACAUAUAUACAUAAACUGUUUCUUGUUACAUUUUUAUCUUAUUUUCUUUUAUCCUUUCCAUUUGUAAUUUAUAUCUUGAAUUUUAAGUUCUACAAUGUUACGUUCUUUCUCUUCUGAGUUCUAAUGUUAUUCCAAAAAUGUUCUACAGCAGGGCGACCUUAUCGACCAAGUGUUCUACGUUACCGAGUCUUACCGACAGAGAUUUCCAUCUUACUCACCGGAUACCCUCCGCUUCCACCUUCGCCCAAGCUUCGAUGGUGUACGCGCUAGCCCACCCCCUGGGUGUAAGGAGCUCCAUACAGAUAGCGCCGCCUUCCAUCACGAAUCCUUUCUCGAUUCGAGGCGAAAUAACGCGCAUAAAGGGUGGUGCGAACGGAAAAUUUUCCGGGAAUACGAUAUGGAGAAGUAUGUAAGUGUUUCAGGGGAUAAAUAUAAUCUGUGAAAAAGCUGUGCAUCAGAUGCGAGGAUACGAGAGACGAAAGACGCACACAAUAGAACACGGCGCAGUCUCCACCCUCAUUGAACUGGUCGGGCGCGUAGUUCGGAAAGGGUUA